ensembl:lncRNA
GAAAUGGUGAUUUUAUUAUGCACACCCUUACGGCGUGCGAGAGCGACUUUUAUUAUGUAAACAUCUCCGCUACGUUAAGCGUGGCGCGUGAUCAGCUGGGACUGUGAAGAAACGCUUUGGCAACUCAACUUAGAAAUGUUAUUUGGUAAAUGUGAGAGGCGCUGCGCGAUUUUUCCUCAUAUGAUAAAACUGUGAUGUGACCGAAGUAACUGUAACUGCCCAGAACUGACGAAAUCAGUUUACAGCAGAACCUCCAUCCAUGCAUGCAUAACAAUGGACUCUAAUGGAGCAGCGUAAGAUGAGAUGAAGUCUGUGUGUUUUACGCGGUGAAAUCCGAGCAAAGCCAGAAUCGGAUAAAUGAACUCCAGUGAAGCGCCAAGCUCAGCCAAAAGCACCUCAUGUCGUUUCUGAGCAGUGAUGUGUCUCCGUGUUCUGUGUUGACGGAUGAAGAUGACAUCACAGAUCUUUCCACUGACUCCGCCCACUAUCAGCUGCUCUCACAACUGGGCCGGGGUUUUAAUAACCUCAGUCAGGUGAGCAUGGCACGACACACACUGUCUGGCCGGCUGGUGGCGGUAAAAAACACUAACCUGGAUGAGUGUACAGAAGAUGAGCUGCUGCAGCUGAUGGUGUGUACAUGCGUAUGUGAACAGCACACUGAUUUCUA